rnacentral:rRNA from 1 species
AGGAAUCUGCCUAUUAGUGGGGGACAACAUUUCGAAAGGAAUGCUAAUACCGCAUACGUCCUACGGGAGAAAGCAGGGGAUCUUCGGACCUUGCGCUAAUAGAUGAGCCUAAGUCGGAUUAGCUAGUUGGUGGGGUAAAGGCCUACCAAGGCGACGAUCUGUAGCGGGUCUGAGAGGAUGAUCCGCCACACUGGGACUGAGACACGGCCCAGACUCCUACGGGAGGCAGCAGUGGGGAAUAUUGGACAAUGGGCGGAAGCCUGAUCCAGCCAUGCCGCGUGUGUGAAGAAGGCCUUAUGGUUGUAAAGCACUUUAAGCGAGGAGGAGGCUACUCUAGUUAAUACCUAGGGAUAGUGGACGUUACUCGCAGAAUAAGCACCGGCUAACUCUGUGCCAGCAGCCGCGGUAAUACAGAGGGUGCAAGCGUUAAUCGGAUUUACUGGGCGUAAAGCGCGCGUAGGCGGCUAAUUAAGUCAAAUGUGAAAUCCCCGAGCUUAACUUGGGAACUGCAUUCGAUACUGGUUAGCUAGAGUGUGGGAGAGGAUGGUAGAAUUCCAGGU